UUUCAUUACAUGAGACAAAAGAGAUGACACUGGAAACGUCAAAACUAGCUACAAAGUCCCAGAGAUGGUCCAAAUUUAGCCUAAUAAAGAACCAUAUACUUUUGAUAUGUAUACAUACGUUUGCAAUCUUCCCAUCUCCCUUAUAUGUAUGCAAUCCUCGACUUUUGAGAAGAGGGAGAGAAGAUGUGUAUAUAUACAUAUAUAGCAGAAGAACUAAAGGAGUAGAGAUCAAGAUUAUAAGCUAGUGCAGUCUAUGUUUAUAUAAAGUCUCGGUUCGUGCACCUGCAAUAGUUGAAGCUGCCAGCAUGAUCUGAGCUUACCUUCUUGUAAUAAUGGUAAGAACAGAUCAUAUGGCAGCUUCACCUGUUGAAUGGAAGCAUACAGACCCUAAUCACCUUUCUCUCAUCUUUGAAAAGAUGAAUUUCAUUCGGCAUCACACAGCCCUUUACAAAAGUUGAAUUGCUGUGUUCUUCUGUUGGUCAAAUCUGGAAAUGGCACUCGAUCCGUGGCAAAAAGAAAGAGGAGAGGGAUCGUGGCAUGUGUUCAGGAUUUUCAAUGCAUCCUCUUGCCUUGGAUAUGAGGACAGUGUUUUUUACUUUUUAAGAACUUUUGUAAGUCACCUAAAACUUUUUUUCCCCAUCUUUUUCUGUAUCUUAUGCUAUCUUAAUUCUUAUGCAUUGGUUUUCAUUUGUACUAUAA